rnacentral:misc_RNA from 1 species
CGCACAUUGCGCCCCUUGGUAUUCCAUGGGGCAUGCCUGUUCGAGCGUCAUUUGUACCUUCAAGCUUUGCUUGGUGUUGGGUGUUUGUCCAGUACUGGACUCGCCUUAAAGCAAUUGGCAGCCGGCAUAUUGUCUAGGAGCGCAGCACAUUUUGCGUCUUCUGUCAGUUUAUGUUGGCGUCCAUUAAGCCUUUCUCACUUUUGACCUCGGAUCAGGUAGGGAUACCCGCUGAACUUAA